UGAUGCUGCGCUGGAUUGAAGGAUGCAGGUUCUGGUCGCCAAAUCCAUGCCUUCGUGGUUAUCAAUGGGUUUGAGCAGGACAUGUGUGUUGGGAGCUCUCUAGCUCACAUGUACAUGAGAAGUGGUCAUCUUGAAGAAGGAGAAAGGGUUCUGAGAGGAUUGCCUUUCCUCAAUGUGGUCUCUUGCCAUACUGUGAUUGAAGGAAGAGCACAAAAUGGGGACCCUGAAGGGGCCUUCCACCAUUUCAUCCUCAUGAAGAAUGUCGGAUUGUUGCCAGACCAUGUAACCUUUAUUUCUUUAAUGGAGAAGUUAAUAUACAAUCUUUGACACCGAAAGCGAAGUUGCUAUUUUUAUGCCUCUGAAUCCAGGAAAUUAGAAGAACAGCAGCAACAGGAAGGUCCUGACUUCUCCCAUUACAAUUAGAGAUUACGUACAAUCUUGAAACCCCAUACGAGUUGAUGGAUUCGCCGGGUGCUGAUUGGAGUCCGGAAUCCGAGUUAGAGCUUCAGGAGAUGUUAUUGGGUCUGGCAUCUUCUGACGAAUUCAAGAAGAACACGAGAAUCAUGAAAGAAAUGAUCAAUGAUGUGAUCAGCAAGGUAAACAAGCCACUCAGUAAAGGCGAGGUCUUGUGGCGCUUGAUGAUGCAGCUCGACCUUGAUGUUGGUCGUGAUUGUUCUAGGAUUUUUGCUAUAGGGACGCAUGUUGCUUGGCCUACACGUUGGGUAGUGAUGAAA